UUGGAUAGAGUUUGUUGGAGAAUCUUAUCUUUGUAUAAAUUCAAACUUGAAUAGUGUUUUGUCCCCUUGGAAUAUUAUACCUUGAAUAAAGUGUCAAAAGAUAAUAAUAAUAAUAUUCAAGGUAAAAAUACAAUUAUUCCAAAUAAUAAUAUUCAAGGUGAAAAUGCAAUUCUCCCGAUUUGACUUUUUAACUUUGACUUAAACCCUUAACUCAAAUGAUUAAUUAAUUAACUAGAGUUAGGUUUAAUAUCGAUUAACUUAUUUAACCCCUAUUGAUUAAUAGUGUAAUUAGGGUUUAAAUUGACAUGAUUAAAAUAUAAUCCUAUGUCGACAAUUUUGAUUUUAUAUUCUCCCCCUUUGUCGAUGACAUAUAUGUUUUAACUCAUGUCUGGUCAAUAUUCUAUUUUACCCUUAUGAGCAUGCUCCCCCUGAAUUAUUGACCCAUAAUAUUCAAUUUAAAAGCAGUGGAUCAUGCAUGAUUUCUCCCCCUUAAAACAAUAAGAUAUCGACAAAGUUAAAAAUAGAUACCUGUGAAGUAUCUCCCCCUUAAUGAUAGGACAUAUCUAAUUUGUGGAGAAAAUAAAACUUCAUACCUUAUUGAGCUUUGAUCACAAAUUUGAUUUGUGUGGUUGACCAAAUGUGACGUCUUGCUUAUAAGAGUGUUAGUCAAUCAUAUAGGAGAAAUAACAUGUAAUUUAUGCUCAUUGAUAAAAUAUUGGAUUGAAGCCAAUUUUGAUAUACAUUAUAAGGCAAGUAUGAUAUGAUAAUUUAAAUUACCUUGUGUUAAGAUCAUGCAAUGAAUAAUAAUCCAUGUGUGUGUUAUGGAUGAAGAUGAUCUUAACAUGUAUGGAUUAAAGAUUUUAUAAUGUUAUAAUCCAUGAGAUAUUAGUGAAUGAUAUGUAUAAAUCCAUAAUAUUCACUAAUUGCUUUAAGAAGAAAUUGAGCAUUUAAAAUUUUAAAAUCUAUGUCUUAGUGACAAAUAUAAUCAUGUAAAUAUUCACUAAGUUUUAAAAGAUUUAAAAUUUUCAUUUCAGUCCUUAAAGCCUUAGUAGUAAAACUUCACUUAAAACAAAAUUUCAUUUAAGCCCUUUGAAGUUAUAAUAAAUACUUAGAUUAAUACUUGAAAUAUUUCAUUUAAACUUUGGAAGUAUUAACUAAUUCUAAGCACUUUUCAAUUUGAAAACUUCAUGUAAAUAUUAAUUUUAAGUCCCUGAAGUUUUAACUAAAUAUUCACUGUAAUGAUAUCCUUUGAACCCUUAAGUUUCAAUGAAAAACUUCAUAGAUAAUUUAAUCCCUUUGAAGUUAUAAUGAAUACUUAGAUUAAUACUUAAAAAAUUUCAUUUUAAACCUUGGAAGUAUUAAAUAUUUCUAAGUAAUUUUUUGAUUAAAACUUCUUGUAAAUAUUGAUUCUAAGUCCCUGAAGUUUUACAUAAAUUUAUAUUCACUGUAAAGUUAUCAUUUUGACCCUUAAGUUUUAGUGAAUCUUAAAACUUCAUAAACAAUUUACGUUUAAGUCCUUGAAGUUUCACAAAACUUUGUAUUCACUUAAAAAUAUAAUUUUAAUCCUUAAGUUUUCAGUGAAUUAUUUUAAGUUUCAAAAAGUUUAUGUUUAAGCCCUUGAAGUUUCAAAGUUUAAGACUUUGAAAAGUCGAUUAAUACUUUCAAAAAGAAUUUUAAUUUUAUACCUUGAAGUAUUAACUAAUGUCCAUGCAGCCCUCAAAUUUUUGAUAUUGCUAAUAUUAUGUUUUCUUUAUGCAUGCAUACCCUUAUGUUGAUAAGCUUAGAUGAUUAAAAUCAUAAAACGAAUUUUCAUUUCAAUAGAAGGGGUGAUACAUGACAGGAUUGAUCUCAUAUUCAAUGAGACUACGAUCCAUGAAUGGAUCUCCAAAAUAACAGAAAAACAAACACAAAAUAUAAGUACUCAAAACAUCAAAAUACUUCUUAGGGCAGAUGUAGUUCAGUCAUGGUGGUGCAUGGUUGGGAUGACCUUGGAGCUAAACUCAUGAAAUAGGUUAGCCAGCUCCAGGUUAUAUUCUCUCUCAACAUCUAGCUGUUGCCUUGUUAUGGAAACCAUCUCUUCCAGAUCUCCCAUUCCUUUCUCCAGCAUCCUUACUUGAUGUCGAACCCUUAUGAUUUCCUCAUUCAAAAACACAUUAGUGUUUUGUGAGUUUGGAUCAUAAGUGUUUCUCCAAGUCUUUUGGAAGGAGCUUGCAGUGAAUGGUUGAAUGUGAGAUAUGAUUGGAUGUGGAUAGAGUGGAAUUCCAAAGAACCCUGGACUAAAGAGUUUUGAGAGCAUCCUUGGGUAGUAGCGAGCUCCAGUGUUCUUGGUUGAUGUUGCCAGAUUGUGCAUGAUCAGUGAUACCCAGUUCACUCUGAUCUUUGACAGCAAGCAGUAAAUUGCUACUAAGAUCAACGUUGAUGGUUCUUCUCUAUUUUCAACUUGAGGAUAUAUAUUGUAAGAGAUGAUCUUCAAAAAGAUUGAGGCUUCUGGUAUGAGCAUUGUAUUCAGAAUCUUAUCAGUGCUCUUAGGGUUAUACCUAUGGGUGAGAGUAUUCCAGAGAAUCUCCCAGCUGCACUUAAAAGGUAGCUCAUCCAGGCUUUUGUAGUUUUGAAGCUUCACUCCGUUGUUGGGUAGGUUUAUCCAUAUUCCAAGUUUAUCAGCUCUUAGAAUGAGACAUAUUCCAUUUACCUUGGUGGUGAUCACUUGAGUACCUACUGUCUCAUACUUGAGAUUUGCAUAGAACUGAGCCAACUCGGAUUUGUAGAUCCUGAGCUGCCCUAUGUUCUCAAGGUAGUCCGUGAGCCUGUUGAAGUUUAGCAGCCCUUCAAUCACCUUGCAGUUGAGAGAUCUGAGUAGAACAGGUUCCUCAAAGAUCAUUCUUUGCUCGAGAAUGAGAUUAUAGGAAAACUUGGCUAUUGGAGAGAUCCAUGUUGGUGUUCCUUGGAACAUUUCUGAUACUGGAAUCUUUCUGGUGCGUUUCUUCCGGAUAGGGUUGCUGCUUGAAGGAUUGGGGUUGUAUACCGGACUGGAAGGACAGUCUGGUAUGAUUGUUAGUUCCUUCUUCUCAGGAUUGAUUUCUUGAAUCAACAUCCUUGGGACAAACUGGUUUUAGGAAGAAGAAGAUAUGUAUUUGAUUGUUCUUCCUAUCCUUAUAUAGUAUUUUGAAUAAACCUCCUUUUUAGGUUUAAAGAUCUGUUCAGAUUAGCUGACAUUGCCUGUAGAUCUUUUCACGUGAUGAUCAAGCCAGCUUUGUGUCAAACUUUUGGAUGGUUAGCAGCUUUUAGGGUUUGUUUUUCAAUAAACCCUACUUGGUGGAUAUGAACAGACUUGUCCUAAUUAGAUUUUUAGACAGAAGUUUUGUCUUUUCAGAUGUUUGCAAGAUCUGAUUUUAGAUAUGUUUUUCAUAUAUAAUUUAUUUAAACACAUACCUUUUGUAGUAAUCGACGCAUUCCUGAUUUUGCUUUAUCUUAACUCUUGCAGGUGGUGUUGUCGUUGCUGUUCAACUCACAUAUCAGGUAUGGUGUUUGUAGGAUGAGUGACUGAUUGACCUGGCUGUGAUGGGUUGAGUAUGGUGGCUGAAUUUUCAAUACCGAGGUUGCCGGAAUGUGCAGGCAUGAGUUUGGAAUUUCUUUCACCAAAGUCGAGAAUGUUUGGAUUUUCAAGACAAAGAAGAUUUGUCAUACCAAGUUUUGACAAUUGGCAUGUUUGCCCAUCCCACCUGUUCUUAAAUUAGAUAUAUAGAUUUGGGUAUUUCAUGUGAAUUUCGUAGUGACAUGGC
rnacentral:lncRNA from 1 species